rnacentral:rRNA from 1 species
GCGGGAAUUCGAUUAGUUUGAUCAUGGCUCAGAUUGAACGCUGGCGGCAUGCCUAACACAUGCAAGUCGAACGGCAGCACAGCUUAAGCUUGCUUAAGUGGGUGGCGAGUGGCGGACGGGUGAGUAAUGCAUCGGGACCUACCCAGACGUGGGGGAUAACGUAGGGAAACUUACGCUAAUACCGCAUACGUCCUACGGGAGAAAGCAGGGGAUCUUCGGACCUUGCGCGGUUGGACGGACCGAUGUUCGAUUAGCUAGUUGGUAAGGUAAUGGCUUACCAAGGCGACGAUCGAUAGCUGGUCUGAGAGGAUGAUCAGCCACACUGGAACUGAGACACGGUCCAGACUCCUACGGGAGGCAGCAGUGGGGAAUAUUGGACAAUGGGCGCAAGCCUGAUCCAGCAAUGCCGCGUGUGUGAAGAAGGCCUUAGGGUUGUAAAGCACUUUUAUCAGGAACGAAAUACCACGGGUUAAUACCCUAGGGGGCUGACGGUACCUGAGGAAUAAGCACCGGCUAACUUCGUGCCAGCAGCCGCGGUAAUACGAAGGGUGCAAGCGUUAAUCGGAAUUACUGGGCGUAAAGGGUGCGUAGGCGGUUAGUUAAGUCUGUUGUGAAAUCCCCGGGCUCAACCUGGGAAUGGCAAUGGAAACUGGCUAGCUAGAGUGUGUCAGAGGAUGGUGGAAUUUCCGGUGUAGCGGUGAAAUGCGUAGAGAUCGGAAGGAACAUCAGUGGCGAAGGCGGNCAUCUGGGACAACACUGACGCUGAAGCACGAAAGCGUGGGG